rnacentral:rRNA from 1 species
GACGAACGCUGGCGGCGGCCUAACACAUGCAAGUCGAGCGAUGAAAUUUUAGCCGAUCUCUCGGAGAGAAGAUAAAAUGGAUUAGCGGCGGACGGGUGAGUAACACGUGAGCAACUGCCUUUCACAAGGGGAUAGCCUCGGGAAACCGGGAUUAAUACCCUAUGACACAUUUCCUUCGCAUGAAAGAAAUGUUAAAACUCCGGUGGUGAAAGAUGGUCUCGCGUCUGAUUAGUAGUUGGUGGGGUAACGGCCUACCAAGGCCAUGAUCAGUAACCGGCCUGAGAGGGUGAACGGUCACAUUGGAACUGAGACACGGUCCAAACUCCUACGGGAGGCAGCAGUGGGGAAUAUUGCACAAUGGAGGAAACUCUGAUGCAGCGACGCCGCGUGAGCGAUGAAGGCUUUCGAGUCGUAAAGCUCUGUCCUAUGGGAAGAUAAUGACGGUACCAUAGGAGG